UUGAAUUAUACCCUUAGCUUGAUUGCAACUCCAUCAGGUUAAUAAUUCGGGUCAACACAAUCUCCUCCUUAUAUAUUUUUAUGAAAGAUCUCAACCAGAAGAGAGAUAAAUUCAGAGUCUGUUUUAAGAAAAGUAUUAUUUACCUCUUACCAUAAUUUAAAUUUAUUUCAUUGUUUAUUCAAUUUCAUGGUAAAACAAGUAGUUAUCCGUUUAAGAACAUUGAUA
rnacentral:lncRNA from 1 species